UGUGCGUCUGUCUACUUGAUCCCUCUGUGUCUCUCUGAGUCUCCUUCUCCUUUAACCUCUCAGUAUCUUGUGGCUCAUUCUCUGCUCUGCCUCCCUUUCUCCCCUCUCUGUUCCCCUCAUCCUCUCCACCAUCCUUCACUACUUCCUUGUUUCCUCUCUCCUCCCUGCCCUGCCCACCUCCUCCCUUUCCUUCCCACCCUCUUCUCUCCCUGAUCCCUCUCCUCCUUCCUCCCUUAUCUUCUUCUUCCCCUGACUGAUCUCCUCUACCCNUCAGCCUCGUCCUCCUCCUACCCCCACCCACAGGCAGAAGGUGCCGGUGCAAAUUCAACCAGCAGCAGAGGACUGGGGAACCUGAUGAAGAGGAGGGAACUUUCCGCAGCUCCAUCCGCCGUCUGUCCACCCGCAGGCGGUAGAGACACCUGGUGUGAUGGAACCCAGCCAGGAUUCUCCUGGCUCCUGAUGCCUCCCACCCACCACUGAGCGCCCACCGCCACCUGGACUGCCCUUUCCCCCAGCCCUGCCCCCACAGACUCCUCUCUGCCGCCCAGACUCCAAUAAAACGUGCUUUUCUCUCCUGACA
rnacentral:lncRNA from 1 species